UUUCAUUCUGUCAUCGAUGAUUU
rnacentral:snRNA from 1 species